AAGGUAAGUAACGGUCUGUGGGAGCCUGAAGGAAGAUGCAAUUAAGUGAAUUCUCACCAUGACAAGCACAUAAAGCAGAAUGAGAUGAUAUUUCAGCACAGAAUAUCCUAAAUAACAGACUUCUUCCUUCAAUGACCACUAAAAAUCCUAAGAUGAAUCAGUUUACCUUUCUGUCUCCAAAAUUAGAACAUGUGGGCCGGUUUUCUCUGGGCUGACUAGUAGGGAUGCCAUCUCAGCCUACCACUCUCCCUGGGAGCUCUUUCCGUGGCAAAGUGCCAAGUGAUCCCCACUUCCCUUGGUAUCCUACGGCCUCAAAAGCAAGGCCCACAACUGUGCUGAGUAGUCCUCAAAAUUAUCUACCAUCUCCUAAAAAAACACAAAUAACCCCAAGGCAGUUCAUUCCACAGAACUGUUUGAUCAGAUAAUGUCCCAGUACAUAAAGAGAUCAGGGGGACAAGGACUCUGAUUGAGUAAGCAUAUGGAAGAUGAGGGGGAAAAAAUAAGUCCUCUAAAGUCUUAAAUAUUUUAGGGAAAAAGUGUUUAAUAAUAAAAUCUUAAUGUAUUUUAGGAGAAGACAAGACAUCAAAUGGAAAAACAAUAGAUAUGACCUUGUGCAAAUUCUCUCUACCUUCACUCCCUCAGCUGUAAAAGUUUUCAAAAACAGCUAUGAUGACUGUACCAUAUGAAGAGUUAACGUCUUCUUCGUGGUGAAAGAAUACUCCGGGGCAAAGCAGCCGGGAGGCCGGGAAGUAAGACAUCCCACAGGGAAAGCAGAAGGCCACCUGGAACAAAACCCACUCACCAGGAGGUACUGCUGGGACCCUGGGGUUAACUUCAAUGCGUCUUAACUGAACUGUAAUCUAUGUGGCCUCCUCUUCUGAAAAAGAUUAAAAACCGGUUCAGUAGUCCCCACCUAGAUAUUCUGAAAGGAUUAUGUUUUGUUGGUUACUUUUCACUCAACCACUCACAGCUUUUCUUCCCAAUUUUUCUGAACAAGUGAAAAGCAAAAAUAUCAAUUCAAAGUAAAGAUUUUCCUCUAUAAACAACUUCUUACUCCUGUGUGGAUUUCUUCUGCAACCAAGUCAAAGAAAGGUUUGUUGGCACUUAUUAAAGUAAAAGAGAUGAAAAUAAGCCACUUGGUAUUUCCCUUUCAGGUUUCUUCUGCAUACCUCCUAAACCACUUUUUAUCAUUCUGCAUGCUGAUUAACUGGUCCAAAUGUGUUAGGAUAAUCACUGGAAACCGUGACCUUUGGUUGUUUUCUGUUUUGUCUGUUUGUUUUUAAUGGGCUUGGUGUAGUGGUAAGAAGCUCUACUCUAGCCUGAGUUCUAGUGCUCAGCGGAAACAAAGCAUUCAUCAGGAAUAAAUACAAUUUAUAUAACAAGUAGUUGGCUCAAGUGGAAAGCCCUGAAUCACUGAGCAACACAGCUUAGUGAUUAACAGAGUAAGUUGGGUUAAUAUAAAGAAUUCUUCUUUUAACUGUCCAGAGUCCAAACACUCCUCCUCCCUCUGCACUCAUUACACCCCCAAGUCUUGGCCUGAAUCAUCAGGUAAAAAAAAAAUUUCUGCUGGCAAAUGUCAAUGAGGUAGAAAAAGAAAAUUUGCUUGUCCAUACAACUAUUAUCAGCCACCUUUCUGUUUCAAGACAGGAUACUAUGGCAACUGCAAAAGCAACAGAUUAGAAAUAAGUCAUGCUGUUUGAUAAAGUGGGGGCACCAACGGGGAAGCCCGAAGGGGGAAG